UGAAUACGAGACGCUAAGGCGUCGAAGUAGUGUAUGUCAUACUUCCAAGAAAAGCUUGCACUGUCAUAGAUAAAAAACGCCUGUACCAUAACCGACACAGGUGGGUAGGUAGAGUAUACUAAGGGGCGCGAGAUAACUCUCUCUAAGGAACUCGGCAAAAUAACUCCGUAACUUCGGGAGAAGGAGUGCUUUAUUCUUAAGGUUGCAAUAACAAGAUCCAAGCAACUGUUUAUCAAAAACACAGGUCUCCGCUAAGUCGUAAGACGAUGUAUGGGGGCUGACGCCUGCCCAGUGCCAGAAGGUUAAAGAAGCUGGUUAGCAUUUGCGAAGCUAGUAACUGAAGCCCUGGUGAACGGCGGCCGUAACAAUAACGGUCCUAAGGUAGCGAAAUUCCUUGUCGGGUAAGUUCUGACCCGCACGAAAGGCGUAAUGAUUUGGAUACUGUCUCGGAGAGGGGCUCGGUGAAAUAGACUUGUCUGUGAAGAUGCGGACUACCUGCACCAGGACAGAAAGACCCUAUGAAGCUUUACUGUAACUUGAAAUUGAAAUUGGACUUUAUUCGCGCAGUAUAGGUGGGAGGCGUUGAUUAUAAUCUUGCGGGAUUAUUGGAGCCAUUAGUGAGAUACCACUCUUGUAAUGUUAGAUUUCUAACUUUGAAUCAUUAUCUGGUCAAAGAACAGUUUCAGGCGGGCAGUUUGACUGGGGCGGUCGCCUCCUAAACGGUAACGGAGGCGUACAAAGGUUUCCUCUGAACGGUUAGAAAUCGUAUCUAGAGUGUAAAGGCAUAAGGAAGCUUGACUGUGAGACCUACAAGUCGAGCAGGGACGAAAGUCGGUCUUAGUGAUCUGACGGUACUGAGUGGAAAGGCCGUCACUCAACGGAUAAAAGUUACUCUAAGGAUAACAGGCUGAUCUCCCCCAAGAGUUCACAUCGACGGGGGGGUUUGGCACCUCGAUGUCGGCUCAUCGCAUCCUGGGGCGGUAGUACGUCCCAAGGGUUGGGCUGUUCGCCCAUGAAAGCGGUACGCGAGCUGGGUUCAGAACGUCGUGAGACAGUUCGGUCCAUAUCCGGUGUAGGCGUUAGAAUAUUGAGAGGAGCCUUCUUUAGUACGAGAGGACCGAGAAGGACAUACCUCUGGUGUACCAGUUAUCGUGCCAACGGUAAACGCUGGGUAGCUAUGUAUGGAGUGGAUAACCGCUGAAAGCAUCUAAGUGGGAAGCCCACCUCAAGAUAAGUAUUC
rnacentral:rRNA from 1 species